UGGAAGUUUUAUAUCAGUGAUUUUAUCUUCAGGCUGGGUAAGCGCAUUUCAAAACAAAGAAAAAUUUGAAGAGGUUGGGGGAUUUCAGAUGUUUGUUUCAGGUUUUCUCUUCGAUGCCUUCCUUCUGAAGUUUGAGGCUCCUUAUAUAGGAGGCGGAACUCAAGCUGGAAAUAAAUCACACUUAUACAUAGUGGGAGACAGGAGGAAUCCUAUCCUAAUAACUUUACUUUUGAAAAAGUAAAGUCGAAAGCUUUAAUGUGCUGGUAGCCAUUUUCUUUUUAUCAAAAGAAAAGCUGUUUGUCUUGUUGCGUUGGCAGCCACUCAACUUUCCAGCAUAUUCACAAUGUUGUGAUAUGUUUCUAAAUCUUCAGAAUAACCCACUGAGGAGUUGGGACCACUAUAUUCCCAAUCUCGCGCCGUGUCUUCAUCUCCAUUCUCGGCCGUAUAUUACAACAGUUGAUAAAAUUGAGAUGAAGAGCUUGCUGAUCAAAGUCUGAUGGUAUUUGGGACUUUGAAUUUUGACAAAUCAGGUUUACAGGUCAGAGGGUUGUCUCAUAAAGGUUGGGAUUCAUAGUAAUGUUUUGGGGCUUUCUGUGACGUUUCUUUUCAUUUUCUUUGUAAUCUGACCUCUAUACUUCCAAUCUCUGUGAAGUAAUAGGUUGAUCAUUUUUUUCUCUGCUUGAGAAAUUGAUAAUUGAGAAGAACAAUGUGUUUUUGGUUC